UGAUGAAGGUCAUGCUGGUCAUGCAGCCUA
rnacentral:piRNA from 1 species